AUGGGACGCACCGCCUUGGUCAAGUCCGUGCUUGCCUCCCAAGCCAUAUACUUCAUCACUACGCUCGUCGUCCCCACAAGCACCCUCAAAAAUCUCAACAAGCUUGAGCGAGCAUUCCUUUGGGAGGGAACAGACAAGACCACCAGGGCCAAAUGCAAGGUUAAUUGGGACACCGUUUGCCGCCCAAUUGCCAAUGGGGGUCUUGGAGUGCUAAACACGGAGAAAUUCGCUAGGGCACCGAGGAUUCGUUGGAUUUGGUUUGAGUGGAAGGAGCCAACUAAGAUGUGGGUUGGCAUGGGCAACCCGUGCGAUGACGCAGACUACAACUUCUUCUAUGCCUCCUCAACUAUUAUCAUGGGAAAUGGCGCGCGCGCCCCCUUUUGGGACUCUCCGUGGGUGCACAACCGCAAACCCAUGGAUUUGGCCCCUCUCAUCUACGCGGCGUCAACGAGCAAGAAUUGGAAGGUGCGGGAAGCACUAAAGGAUGGCGCUUGGGUUAAAAAGAUCAAGAUGACGUCCGAUUUUUCUAUAGAGCACUUCAGACAAUUUCUCGAGCUUUGGGCCACCAUCCGGGAUUUUCACCUACAGGAGGAUAUUGACGACGACAUUGUUUGGAAGCAUUCUACUAGUGGCCUCUACACGGUGGAGUCCGCCUACAAAGCGCAAUUUCUCGGCCUCAUUCGCUCUCCCUUGGAGCAUGCAGUGUGA
rnacentral:rRNA from 1 species